CAAGUUAGCCUUAGAGGGGUUAUUAUUUACAAUAAUAAUAUAAUUGUGCAAGUCAAUUUAACUUGA
rnacentral:tRNA from 1 species